AGCUUGCUCCACCGAAAGAAAAGGAGUGGCGAACGGGUGAGUAACACGUGGGUAACCUGCCCAUCAGAAGGGGAUAACACUUGGAAACAGGUGCUAAUACCGUAUAACAAUCGAAACCGCAUGGUUUCGGUUUGAAAGGCGCUUUUGCGUCACUGAUGGAUGGACCCGCGGUGCAUUAGCUAGUUGGUGAGGUAACGGCUCACCAAGGCAACGAUGCAUAGCCGACCUGAGAGGGUGAUCGGCCACAUUGGGACUGAGACACGGCCCAAACUCCUACGGGAGGCAGCAGUAGGGAAUCUUCGGCAAUGGACGCAAGUCUGACCGAGCAACGCCGCGUGAGUGAAGAAGGUUUUCGGAUCGUAAAACUCUGUUGUUAGAGAAGAACAAGGAUGAGAGUAAAAUGUUCAUCCCUUGACGGUAUCUAACCAGAAAGCCACGGCUAACUACGUGCCAGCAGCCGCGGUAAUACGUAGGUGGCAAGCGUUGUCCGGAUUUAUUGGGCGUAAAGCGAGCGCAGGCGGUUUCUUAAGUCUGAUGUGAAAGCCCCCGGCUCAACCGGGGAGGGUCAUUGGAAACUGGGGAACUUGAGUGCAGAAGAGGAGAGUGGAAUUCCAUGUGUAGCGGUGAAAUGCGUAGAUAUAUGGAGGAACACCAGUGGCGAAGGCGGCUCUCUGGUCUGUAACUGACGCUGAGGCUCGAAAGCGUGGGGAGCAAACAGG
rnacentral:rRNA from 1 species